UACGGUGGGGGCAAGCGUUGGUCGGAAUUACUGGGCGGAAAGGGCUCGUAGGCGGCCAACUAAGUCAGACGUGAAAUCCCUCGGCUUAACCGGGGAACUGCAUCUGAUACUGGAUGGCUUGAGUUCGGGAGAGGGAUGCGGAAUUCCAGGUGUAGCGGUGAAAUGCGUAGAUAUCUGGAGGAACACCGGUGGCGAAGGCGGCAUCCUGGACCGACACUGACGCUGAGGAGCGAAAGCCAGGGGAGCAAACGGG
rnacentral:rRNA from 1 species